GACGUAGGGGGCAAGCGUUGUCCGGAUUUAUUGGGCGUAAAGAGCUCGUAGGCGGCUCAGAAAGUCGGGUGUGAAACCUCCAGGCUCAACCUGGAGACGCCACCUGAUACUGCUGUGGCUAGAGUCCGGUAGGGGAACACGGAAUUCCCGGUGUAGCGGUGAAAUGCUUAGAUAUCGGGAGGAACACCAGUGGCGAAGGCGGUGCUCUGGGCCGGAACUGACGCUGAGGAGCGAAAGCGUGGGUAGCAAACAGG
rnacentral:rRNA from 1 species